UACAGAGGUCUCAAGCGUUGUUCGGAUUCAUUGGGCGUAAAGGGUGCGUAGGUGGCGCGCUAAGUCAGGUGUGAAAUUUCGGAGCUUAACUCCGAAACUGCAUUGAUACUGGCGUGCUUGAGGACUGGAGAGGAGAUGACUGGAAUUCGAUGGUGUAGCAGUAGAAAUGCGUAGAGAUCAUGAGGAAGACCAGUGGCGAAGGCGGGUCUCUGGGCCGAUACUGACGCUGAGGAGCGAAAGCAUGGGAGCGAACAGG
rnacentral:rRNA from 1 species